UACGUAGGGGGCUAGCGUUGUCCGGAAUCAUUGGGCGUAAAGCGCGUGUAGGCGGCCCGGUAAGUCCGCUGUGAAAGUCGGGGGCUCAACCCUCGGAUGCCGGUGGAUACUGUCGGGCUCGAGUACGGAAGAGGCGAGUGGAAUUCCUGGUGUAGCGGUGAAAUGCGUAGAUAUCUGGAGGAACACCGGUGGCGAAGGCGAAUCUCUGGACAGUUACUGACGCUGAGGCACGAAGGCCAGGGGAGCAAACGGG
rnacentral:rRNA from 1 species